rnacentral:misc_RNA from 1 species
CCGUGCAAAGGCGAGGAAUGAUCAGAAUGAUGGAGAUGCGAGAUAUCAUCGUCGUCGUCAUCAGAAUCAGAGUGGAAGUGCAGGUGGGAACCAGAGUUGGAGUGAGAGUCGUGAGCUAUGUUACGCUUCUUGGGUGAACUGGUACCUUCAUCGCUGAGAGUGAGCGGAUCGCCUUUUCUUUGAGGAGGCAAAUUGAGCUUAGGAACAAACCCGGAAGCAGAAUAUUCCUGUUCUAUAAAAUGAUGCAAAGAACCACCAAUCAU